CAAAAUCAGAGGCAGACAAGUUCUGCAUCAGCAGAACUGAUAACCUUGAUCAUUAUACGCACUUUAUUUUCUUCUCGAAAAUCACUUUUCCUAACCCUUAGGUUUUAAGUCCGUAGGCAAAAACUUCGUUUUCCAUAACUGAAAUAUUAUUGGAUAUUCCAUCUCGUCUUCGUAUUCUAUCAUUACGUAUUUCUCGGAAAUUCAAACUUAAUUCUCGAGCAGAAAUGGAUCAAUAGUGUUUUUACGAAAAUUUCUCGAAAAACAUUUAUUUUCGUCUUGGAAAUUCAAAACAAUUAAUCCUAGCACAUAGUCAGAAUACUAACCACAUCCGCACAUUCUAGGUCAUAGAAUGACCUUCAAAUAGCUUACUCACAUAAAUAAUCAAUUAAAUUUAUUUAAUCCACAUAAUCAAAUAAAAAUUUAAUUCAUUUAAAAAACUGAUUUUCUCGGGCAUUACAUUCUCCCUCCCUUAUAAGGAUUCUAUCUCCAGAAUCUCGCUAUAAUUACAUAAACAAAUGAGGAAAAUUCUCGUUCAUUUUACUUUCGAGUUCCCACGUUGCUUCUUCCGCAUUGUGGUUCCUCCAAAUCACCUUCACCAAAGGUAUUAUCUUAUUUCUUAAGACUUGCUCCUUCCUAUCAACAAUUUGAACUAGAAGUUCUUUAUACGUUAAGUCUUUUCCUAUCUGAAUAGAUCCGUACUCUAUUGUGUGUUUUAAACUUGUCCAUUAAUAACAAGCUAUAAGCAUCUAACUUAUGCGCGAUGGUUUUAAACUUG
rnacentral:lncRNA from 1 species